UUUAAUUAUGAUGAUCAAAAGGGACUUAAUACUGACGUGUGAUGUUACCUUUUAUUAUUCUGAAUUUC